GACGAACGCUGGCGGCGUGCUUAACACAUGCAAGUCGAACGAAGUGGCGAACGGGUGAGUAACGCGUAAUCAACCUGCCCUUCAGAGGGGGACAACAGUGGAAAACGACUGCUAAUACCGCAUACUGAAGAUGGGGUUGGCGGCGGAUUAGCUAGUUGGAGGGGGAACGGCCCACCAAGGCGAUGAUAAGUAGCCUGGCUGGGAGGCGUGACGGCCACAUUGGGACCGGGGCGCGGCCCAGACUCCCCCGGGUGGCAGCAGUGGGGACUCUUCGGGAAUGGACGAAAGUCUGAAGGAGCAACGCCGGGUGAGUGAUGUCGGCCUUCAGGUUGUAAAGCUCUUUUAAUCCGGUCGCGGUACCUGAAUAGAAAGCGCCGGCUAACUACGUGCCAGCAGCCGCGGUAAUAC
rnacentral:rRNA from 1 species